rnacentral:tRNA from 1 species
GCACCUGUGGCUCAAAGGGGUGGGGCACUGGCCUCAUAUGCCAGAGGGGGCGGGUUCAUAUCCAGCCCCGUCCA